rnacentral:rRNA from 1 species
GACGAACGCUGGCGGCGGGCUUAACACAUGCAAGUCGAGCGGAAACGCCCUGCUUUGCUGGGUUUCGCUAGGCGCGAACGGGUGAGUAGCACGUUAGUGCCCUUCCCUUCAGUUUGUGAUAACUUCAUGAAACUGGGGCUGAUACCGUAUAGGAGCUCCUGCUGCAUGGUGGGGAUUGGAAAGGUUCGGCGGUUGUGGAUGUACUCGCUGCUUAUCCGCUUGUUGGUGGGGUUGUGGCUGACCAAGGCUUCGAAGGGUACCCGGCCUGAGAGGGUGACCGGCCAAAGUGCGACUGAGCUACGGCCGAGAGUCGUACGGGAGGCAGGAGUGGGGAAUAGUGCAUAAUCGGCGGAAGUCUGAUGCAGCAACGCCGCGUGCGGGAUGAUGGCCUGCGGGUAGUAAAGCGCUUUCGGCUGUGAGGAAGAGUGAUUGACGGUACCGGAUAAAGAAGCACCGGCUAAUUCCGUG